rnacentral:rRNA from 1 species
GAUGAACGCUGGCGGCGUGCCUAAUACAUGCAAGUCGAACGCUGGAGAUCUAGCUUGCUAGAUCGAAGGAGUGGCGAACGGGUGAGUAAUACAUAAGCAACCUACCCACGAAGACUGGGAUAAUCUCUGGAAACGGGGACUAAUACCGGAUAGGUAAUCGGAAGGCAUCUUCUGGUUAUUAAAGGUUAAAAACACUGGUGGAUGGGCUUAUGGCGCAUUAGUUAGUUGGUGAGGUAACGGCCCACCAAGACGAUGAUGCGUAGCCGGCCUGAGAGGGUGAACGGCACAGUGGGAAUGGAAACCGGCCCAAACCCCCAGGGGGGGACGGCGGAGGGAAUUUGUGGGAAGGGGGGGAACCCUGACCCGGGAACCGCGGGGGAGUAAAGGCGGCCUUGGGGUUUUAAAGGUUUGGUGGAAGGGAAAAACGGUAGAAAGGAAAAAUUUAAGGUAAGGGACCCUUCCAAAAAGCCCGGGGUAACCACGG